GCCCAGCCCAGCUCAGUAGGUAGAGCAUGAGACUCUUAAUCUCAGGGUCGUGGGUUCCAGCCCCACGUUGGGCG